GAAACCAACAGGGAUUGCCCUAGUAACGGCGAGUGAAGCGGCAACAGCUCAAAUUUGAAAUCUGGCGCAAGCCCGAGUUGUAAUUUGCAGAGGAUGCUUCUGGGCAGCGGCCGUUCUAAGUUCCUUGGAACAGGACGUCAUAGAGGGUGAGAAUCCCGUAUGUGACCGGCGCGCACCCUCCACGUAGCUCCUUCGACGAGUCGAGUUGUUUGGGAAUGCAGCUCUAAAUGGGAGGUAAAUUUCUUCUAAAGCUAAAUACCGGCCAGAGACCGAUAGCGCACAAGUAGAGUGAUCGAAAGAUGAAAAGCACUUUGGAAAGAGAGUUAAAAAGCACGUGAAAUUGUUGAAAGGGAAGCGCUUGCAACCAGACUUCGCGGCGGUGUUCCGCCGGCCUUCUGGCCGGUCCACUCGCCGCCGCGAGGCCAACAUCGUCUGGGGCCGCCGGAUAAGACCGUAGGAAUGUGGCUCCCUCGGGAGUGUUAUAGCCUGCGGUGAUACGGCGCGCCUCGGGCGAGGUCCGCGCUUCGGCAAGGAUGUUGGCGUAAUGGUUGCCAGCGGCCCGUCUUGAAACACGGACCAAGGAGUCUAACAUCUAUGCGAGUGUUCGGGUGUCAAACCCCUACGCGUAAUGAAAGUGAACGGAGGUGGGAGCUUCGGCGCACCAUCGACCGAUCCUGAUGUCCUCGGAUGGAUUUGAGUAAGAGCAUAGCUGUUGGGACCCGAAAGAUGGUGAACUAUGCCUGAAUAGGGUGAAGCCAGAGGAAACUCUGGUGGAGGCUCGCAGCGGUUCUGACGUGCAAAUCGAUCGUCAAAUUUGGGUAUAGGGGCGAAAGACUAAUCGAACCAUCUAGUAGCUGGUUCCUGCC
rnacentral:rRNA from 1 species